UUAAGCGACUAAGCGUACACGGUGGAUGCCCUGGCAGUCAGAGGCGAUGAAGGACGUGCUAAUCUGCGAUAAGCGCCGGUAAGGUGAUAUGAACCGUUAUAACCGGCGAUUUCCGAAUGGGGAAACCCAGUGUGACUCGUCACACUAUCAUUAACUGAAUCCAUAGGUUAAUGAGGCGAACCGGGGGAACUGAAACAUCUAAGUACCCCGAGGAAAAGAAAUCAACCGAGAUUCCCCCAGUAGCGGCGAGCGAACGGGGAGGAGCCCAGAGCCUGAAUCAGCAUGUGUGUUAGUGGAAGCGUCUGGAAAGGCGCGCGAUACAGGGUGACAGCCCCGUACACAAAAGCGCAUGUGCUGUGAGCUCGAUGAGUAGGGCGGGACACGUGGUAUCCUGUCUGAAUAUGGGGGGACCAUCCUCCAAGGCUAAAUACUCCUGACUGACCGAUAGUGAACCAGUACCGUGAGGGAAAGGCGAAAAGAACCCCGGCGAGGGGAGUGAAAAAGAACCUGAAACCGUGUACGUACAAGCAGUGGGAGCACAGGUUUACCUGUGUGACUGCGUACCUUUUGUAUAAUGGGUCAGCGACUUAUAUUCUGUAGCAAGGUUAACCGCAUAGGGGAGCCGGAGGGAAACCGAGUCUUAAUUGGGCGUUAAGUUGCAGGGUAUAGACCCGAAACCCGGUGAUCUAGCCAUGGGCAGGUUGAAGGUUGGGUAACACUAACUGGAGGACCGAACCGACUAAUGUUGAAAAAUUAGCGGAUGACCUGUGGCUGGGGGUGAAAGGCCAAUCAAACCGGGAGAUAGCUGGUUCUCCCCGAAAGCUAUUUAGGUAGCGCCUCGUGAAUUCAUCUCCGGGGGUAGAGCACUGUUUCGGCUAGGGGGCCAUCCCGGCUUACCAACCCGAUGCAAACUGCGAAUACCGGAGAAUGUUAUCACGGGAGACACACGGCGGGUGCUAACGUCCGUCGUGAAGAGGGAAACAACCCAGACCGCCAGCUAAGGUCCCAAAGUCAUGGUUAAGUGGGAAACGAUGUGGGAAGGCCCAGACAGCCAGGAUGUUGGCUUAGAAGCAGCCAUCAUUUAAAGAAAGCGUAAUAGCUCACUGGUCGAGUCGGCCUGCGCGGAAGAUGUAACGGGGCUAAACCAUGCACCGAAGCUGCGGCAGCGAACGUAUCACCCAAGACAACUUUGCGGAGUUGACGAUUGACGGAGCGAAGCGACGUCAAAGCGUUCAUUAAAGUCGAGUUGGCUUAGGGAUACGUUCGUUGGGUAGGGGAGCGUUCUGUAAGCCUGCGAAGGUGGCCUGUGAGGGUUGCUGGAGGUAUCAGAAGUGCGAAUGCUGACAUAAGUAACGAUAAAGCGGGUGAAAAGCCCGCUCGCCGGAAGACCAAGGGUUCCUGUCCAACGUUAAUCGGGGCAGGGUGAGUCGACCCCUAAGGCGAGGCCGAAAGGCGUAGUCGAUGGGAAACGGGUUAAUAUUCCCGUACUUGGUGUUACUGCGAAGGGGGGACGGAGAAGGCUAUGUUGGCCGGGCGACGGUUGUCCCGGUUUAAGCGUGUAGGUGUGUGUUCCAGGUAAAUCCGGUUCACUUUAACACUGAGGCGUGACGACGAGGCACUACGGUGCUGAAGCAACAAAUGCCCUGCUUCCAGGAAAAGCCUCUAAGCAUCAGGUAACAUCAAAUCGUACCCCAAACCGACACAGGUGGUCAGGUAGAGAAUACCAAGGCGCUUGAGAGAACUCGGGUGAAGGAACUAGGCAAAAUGGUGCCGUAACUUCGGGAGAAGGCACGCUGACACGUAGGUGAAGUGAUUUACUCAUGGAGCUGAAGUCAGUCGAAGAUACCAGCUGGCUGCAACUGUUUAUUAAAAACACAGCACUGUGCAAACACGAAAGUGGACGUAUACGGUGUGACGCCUGCCCGGUGCCGGAAGGUUAAUUGAUGGGGUCAGCGCAAGCGAAGCUCCUGAUCGAAGCCCCGGUAAACGGCGGCCGUAACUAUAACGGUCCUAAGGUAGCGAAAUUCCUUGUCGGGUAAGUUCCGACCUGCACGAAUGGCGUAAUGAUGGCCAGGCUGUCUCCACCCGAGACUCAGUGAAAUUGAACUCGCUGUGAAGAUGCAGUGUACCCGCGGCAAGACGGAAAGACCCCGUGAACCUUUACUAUAGCUUGACACUGAACAUUGAGCCUUGAUGUGUAGGAUAGGUGGGAGGCUUUGAAGUGUGGACGCCAGUCUGCAUGGAGCCGACCUUGAAAUACCACCCUUUAAUGUUUGAUGUUCUAACGUGGACCCGUAAUCCGGGUUGCGGACAGUGUCUGGUGGGUAGUUUGACUGGGGCGGUCUCCUCCUAAAGAGUAACGGAGGAGCACGAAGGUUGGCUAAUCCUGGUCGGACAUCAGGAGGUUAGUGCAAUGGCAUAAGCCAGCUUGACUGCGAGCGUGACGGCGCGAGCAGGUGCGAAAGCAGGUCAUAGUGAUCCGGUGGUUCUGAAUGGAAGGGCCAUCGCUCAACGGAUAAAAGGUACUCCGGGGAUAACAGGCUGAUACCGCCCAAGAGUUCAUAUCGACGGCGGUGUUUGGCACCUCGAUGUCGGCUCAUCACAUCCUGGGGCUGAAGUAGGUCCCAAGGGUAUGGCUGUUCGCCAUUUAAAGUGGUACGCGAGCUGGGUUUAGAACGUCGUGAGACAGUUCGGUCCCUAUCUGCCGUGGGCGCUGGAGAACUGAGGGGGGCUGCUCCUAGUACGAGAGGACCGGAGUGGACGCAUCACUGGUGUUCGGGUUGUCAUGCCAAUGGCACUGCCCGGUAGCUAAAUGCGGAAGAGAUAAGUGCUGAAAGCAUCUAAGCACGAAACUUGCCCCGAGAUGAGUUCUCCCUGAGACUUUAGGUCUCCUGAAGGAACGUUGAAGACGACGACGUUGAUAGGCCGGGUGUGUAAGCGCAGCGAUGCGUUGAGCUAACCGGUACUAAUGAACCGUGAGGCUUAACCUU
rnacentral:rRNA from 1 species